UUUGUUUUCAAUGUCUGUGGGGCUAUUUCUAUUUUGUAAGUAAGUUCAUUUCUAUGUUUCCCCUGGCUUUCUUUUGUAUCUCUUCAGUUUUCCCAUGUCUCUAUUUCAUUACUCUCCCCCUCCCCUAAACCUAUAUGUUUCCUAGUGCUUGUUUUAGGAUCCACUUUUAAGAAGGAGCCUAAGCCAAAACAGUUGCUACUGGAAAUAGCAAUAGAAAGUAGCCUCUUUAGAUGGGAUUCUGAAAUUGGUUUCCUCAUGGGUCAAAUGGUAACAAGGACCACAUUGUUGGUGAUAAACGAGGUGCUGAAAACUCCUUGUUUGCUUUAUCACCACAGUUUUAAAGACUCAGUAGAGGAGAGCUGAAUGAAAAUCAAGUGGAAGGAGGCACACAGGUUUAUGUAAUAGCUUGAAAGCUAUUAGGGGAAACCCUUUAUAAGGGUUGUGGAGGCAGCUUACCCUUUUCAACCCUUCUGGAAGUCUUGAAGUAGAAGAGUAGCAGUCUCAGUUCAGCCAGCCAUCUGCUCAGGACUUGCUAGAAAUUUAAGAUGGCCUUCUUGCAGUGUUUAUUACCUGCAACUGGACGAUAGAUAAAAACUGAAAAAAGCAGGUCCAGGAUUUGAUUAUAGGGGUUGAACAAAUGCAAAAUACAUGUAAUGCUCAACUUCUGGGAGUUUUCUGACAUUAGAGUUUUGGUAGUGACCCUGAGAACUUGGAUGUCUGGGAAGAACUGACCUGAGAAUGUUGGACCUCCAGAUUUUCCUAGUAUCUCUGGACUUUGAGAACAGCGUCUUUCCUUGACUGAGGAUAAUAUGAAGAAAUUGCCUGAGAAUACACAUGUUGUCCAAAUGGGAUGUAUCUGCAUGAGAUUUACUGAGACCUUGGCUGCAUAUUUCUGAGAAAAGCCCUGUUGCAUCAGAAAAUCUUCGUGAUACUCCACUGGACAAGGGUGGCUUCCUAGCCAGUCUUAAAAGUCUUCAGAGAUCCUACUGAACAAUCAGACUAGACGAAACCUAUAUCAGUGCCUCUGCAUGUGAGAUGGUGGGAAGUGGCCUCGUACCAAGCCUACUGUUUCUCCAAGUUUCUCCUGUACAACAUGGAAAAAGGACUAUUUGUGGAAAAUCUUGACUUAAUGAGCAUCUUUAUAUGAGAAACAUCUGAAAACAUUGAAGUCUAAACAAAUCAUUCAAAAGAAGACAUUACUCAAGUGAGCAUGUAAAGGUAAGUCAGUACAGUGUCUUCAGAAACCUGAAUCCAUAGAGCUCGAUGACUCAGAAAUAGCUGCUCUAAUAUUUACAUAUCUCAGCAUAGCACAAAGGAAGAAAUGGAUUGGUGAUGAUUUCAUUGUCAGAAUUUAUAGUUAGUUGAUCAGAAUGAUUCAGGAAUUCUUGUUUUGCGUACAAGUACAUUAUUACUAGGCUAAAAUAAGGUGUGAUACGGAGAAUGUUUGGGUUCAUAAAGCUUUCCAUUUGCAAAAAUACAUCAUUCUGGUUUUAGAAUUCAAAUGUUUAUUGUUCUUAUAUAGUGUCUAUUAUGUAAUAGUGUGCUUAAAUAUAAGAGAGGUUGUGUUUGUUUCUCUUCAUAGUUUCACUGUAAAAGGCUUAUCACCAAGAGGUUCUACAUGGUUAGAAUCAGAAGUAGCCAGAUACCACCAAGAGAUUUAAUCCAAAUAUUGUGCGCAGAAUUGUGGUUUCAGAGCCCACACCAAGACAUGUGAUUCGAUAUUAUGUUUGAAAAGAACAUACAUAUUUCAGAUUGUUAUGGCAUUUACAAAGGAGUUUAUGUUACAAAGUUCAUAAAGUUUAUUAUGACUUUCCUAGACUCCCUUAAAUUGAAUACAGAAAAUAUACACACAAAAAGUGAGUUGAUUGAAAAUAUGCACUAGAACAGCUAAAUAAUUUGACAUGACAAAAGGAGUUAUGCAUAUUUUAGAAACAUUAUUUUGCAUUUGUGUGUGUUAGUAUACAUGUAUGAAUGUGUUUUCACACUGUGUGAAUAUAUAUUUAAAUUAUUAAAGGUGCUGAUUGCUUCCACUGAGUUAAGCGGUCAAAGUCAGGUUGUCAAGUUCUAUGACUCCUUGUGACUAUACACAUUUUCAAUAUGGUUGCAAUAAGAUAUCCACUCUAUUCAGUAUAAUAGAUUCUAAUAUGGAAGUUAACAACUUAAUAAUAACAAUAACCUUAUAUUAAAUAUUUUUCUGGGUAUUUUUCAUGUCUGAUUCAAACCAUGACAUACUAACUAGGUGAUUAUUAUUAUUUAUUUCUGCAGUAUCUUGACAUAUCUAUUUGCCCUACUGAAAUGUAAACACCACAAGAUUCAAGGGUCAGUACUGAUUUUGUUGCCUAUUUUAUCCUAGAUCUUAGAGCAUAGCCUCUGACUCAAUAUAUACCUGGUGAUGAAUGACUCUCCUGAUAGUUAAUUAAUUUAUGAUUCAAAAAUAUCAUUAGAUUUCUCAUGUACCUAGAGUUAGUAAGAGAUGGAUCUGGGUUAGAAUUAAUAUAGAAUUGAAUUUAGAGUUAAUGCUUUUUCUUCCCCUACAUAAACUUAUGAAGAUUUAUUAAGGUAAAACACAUUAAAAAUUAAUAAUUUUAACAUUUUAAGUGUACUAUUCUUGUCACUUAAUACAUUCACAGUGGUGUGAAAGUGUCACCACUAUCUAGUUCCAGAGUAUUUUCAUCACAGUCGCUCUCAAUUCUUACCCUCCCCAAGCCUCUUACCCAAAUCUAUCUUUAUCUCUAUGAAUUUGUCAUUUCUAGUCCAUUAUGAGAAGUGGCAACUCAUUAUAGAUUUGGUUUGCAUUUCCCUAGUGACCAAACACUGGCAUCUUUUUAUGUGUUCAUUGGAUAUUUAUACUCUACAGUCAUACCAUCCUAAAUGCUCCCAAUCUUGUCUGAAUAUUUACCUAACUUCUUUGGAGAAAUGUCUAUACAAGUCCUUUGCCCAUUUUUGAGGUGGUUUUUCUUUUUGUUUUCGAAGUGUAAGUGUUCUUUGUAUAUUCUGGAUGCAAGUCCAUUAUAAGAUAUCUGAUUUGUGGAGUUCUCAUUGUGGCAUAGUGGAAAUGA